rnacentral:rRNA from 1 species
CCUACGGGUGGCAGCAGUGAGGAAUAUUGGACAAUGGACGAGAGCCUGAACCAGCCAAGUAGCGUGAAGGAUGAUUGCCCUAUGGGUUGUAAACUUCAUUUAUAUGGGAAUAAAAUGUUCCACGUGUGGGAUUUUGUAUGUACCAUAUGACUAAGGAUCGGCUAACUCCGUGCCAGCAGCCGCGGUAAUACGGAGGAUCGGAGCGUUAUCCGGAUUUAUUGGGUUUAAAGGGAGCGUAGGUGGAUUGUUAGGUCAGUUGUGAAAGUUUGAGGCUCAACCGUAAAAUUGCAGUUGAAAAUGGGAGUCUUGAGUACAGUAGAGGCAGGCGGAAUUCGUGGUGUAGCGGUGAAAUGCUUAGAUAUCACGAGGAACUCCGAUUGCGAAGGCAGUUCACUGGACUGCAACUGACACUGAGGCUCGAAAGUGUGGGUAUCAAACAGGAUUAGAUACCCCUGUAGUC